rfam:Megaselia scalaris, Durham, NC isolate 2 -- Noor lab, WGS project CAQQ02000000 data, contig: ctg0000008750
CAACCGGUUCUUUUCAGAACCUCAAAUUAUUACAAAAGAGAGUUAU